AGGCGUAGCCGAUGCACAGACGGUAGAGAUUCCGUCCCCACCGAAAGAUUUAAGCACAGGGACACUUUUUGAAGGUCGGAGCCAGGUGUUGGUUCUGGUAGUGAUCGAGGGAAAUAUAGUACCGAAGUCCGGCUGGAAGAGAGGCGAGAAAAGCUGUGUGUAUAUCUAAGGUGCCCGUACCGCAAACCGACACAGGUAGGUAGGAAGAAGAUUCUAAGGCCAACGGGAGAAGGGUUGUUAAGGAACUCGGCAAAUUGACCCCGUAACUUCGGGAGAAGGGGUGCUCCAGAGAUGGAGCCGCAGAGAAUCGGCCCAAGCAACUGUUUACCAAAAACACAGGUUUGUGCUAAAUCGAAAGAUGACGUAUACGAGCUGACGCCUGCCCGGUGCUGGAAGGUUAAGAGGAGAUGUGCAAGCAUUGAAUCGAAGCCCCAGUGAACGGCGGCCGUAACUAUAACGGUCCUAAGGUAGCGAAAUUCCUUGUCAGGUAAGUUCUGACCCGCAUGAAAGGCGUAAUGAUUUGGGCACUGUCUCAACAGCCCGCCCGGCGAAAUUGUAGUACCGGUGAAGAUGCCGGUUACCCGCGACAAGACGGAAAGACCCCAUGGAGCUUUACUGUAGCCUGAUAUUGGGUUUCGGUGUUGCAUGCACAGGAUAGAUGGGACACUGGGAAGCGGAUGCUUUGGCGUUCGUGGAGUGGACGUUGGGAUACCAUCCUUGCGACAUUGGAAUUCUAACCUGCGCCUCUGAAUCGAGGCGGGGGACAUUGUCAGGUGGGCAGUUUGACUGGGGCGGUCGCCUCCUAAAAAGUAGCGGAGGCGUUCAAAGGUUCGUUCGAUCUGGACGGAAACCAGAUGAUUGAGUGCAAACGCAUAAACGAGCCUGACUGCGAGACUGACGGGUCGAGCAGAGACGAAAGUCGGAGUUAGUGAUCCGGUGGUAUGUGAGUGGAAAUGCCAUCGCUCAACGGAUAAAAGUUACCCUGGGGAUAACAGGCUGAUCUCCCCCAAGAGUCCACAUCGACGGGGAGGUUUGGCACCUCGAUGUCGGCUCAUCGCAUCCUGGGGCUGAAUUCGGUCCCAAGGGUUUGGCUGUUCGCCAAUUAAAGCGGUACGCGAGCUGGGUUCAGAACGUCGUGAGACAGUUCGGUCCCUAUCUGUCGUGGGCGCAGGAUAUUUGAAAGGCGCUGUCCCUAGUACGAGAGGACCGGGAUGGACGAACCUCUGGUGCACCAGUUGUCACGCCAGUGGCACAGCUGGGCAGCUAUGUUCGGAUCGGAUAAACGCUGAAAGCAUCUAAGCGUGAAGCCGGCCUUAAGAUAAGAUAUCCCACUGAGUCAAUCAGGUAAGACCCCUUGAAGACUACAAGGUUGAUAGGCACACAGUGUAAGCGGAGUGAUCCGUUCAGCUAGCGUGUACUAAUAGGUCGAGGGCUUGACCC
rnacentral:rRNA from 1 species